UACGCAGGGGGCUAGCGUUGCUCGGAAUCACUGGGCGUAAAGGGUGCGUAGGCGGGUCUUUAAGUCGGGGGUGAAAUCCUGGAGCUCAACUCCAGAACUGCCUUUGAUACUGAAGGUCUUGAGUCCGGGAGAGGUGAGUGGAACUGCGAGUGUAGAGGUGAAAUUCGUAGAUAUUCGCAAGAACACCAGCGGCGAAGGCGGCUCACUCGCCCGAUACUGACGCUGAGGCACGAAAGCGUGGGGAGCAAACAGG
rnacentral:misc_RNA from 1 species